CCUGAACUCUGUCUCCCUCUCUCUCCCGUCUCCACAUCCUGGAGUCCAAGACAGGAGAUCGCAACAUAGAGAAGGCUGCAGAGAGUGUCCCCAUCACCUGUGCUUUACCAGGGACCCAGUGACCAAACCAGGGAUAACUGGAUACGCAAAGACUGGCAAGCAGACUGCCAAACAGAGACAAAGUCCUGGGGGACGGCGGAAGGAAGUGGCCCCGGAGAUGCCCUGAGAACGGAAGGUCAUCUAAGACAGUGCUGCUCUCUCUGCUCUGUACCUUGCAAACUGGCUUGAUGCAGACCUGAGUGCAGACAGAGCUCCCAGAAAGAAGUCUGUGUGGUUUCCUAAGAGGUCUGCAGUCCCCUGGCCCUGUGCCAGGAGGGACUCCCACCACCCCGUGCUCAGACCUCAGACCUCUCUAGGAGGAGAUCUGGACGCACAUCCACACUCCCCUGCACACGGGAUGUACCAAACCAGCAGAAGGAGAGCUUCUGCCCCAGCGAGCCCUCUGGUUUCCUGCAGCAGAAACAGAUCAUGUUGGGAGCAGCAAAGGGAAGGGGAGGCAGAGCAUGUGCUCAGCGGUGAGGCCUUCAUGAGCGAGGGGCAGGCAGAGAAGGCCCGUGCUCCUCAGCACACCACAAAGGAAAGCUAGAGCCAUCGCCCAGGUAUGCUCUGCAUGUGCAAUAAACCACGCUCACCUCAAACCCCACAUUAUAGUUUCCACUGAAAUGGAGGCUCACCCAACAGUCACGUCUCACAUCACAUUGGUGACAUAGCCUUGAGAAGGUGGUUACCCAUCCUGCUUCCACUCAUGCACAGAACUGUGUUUGAUGUUAGCACUUGCGUGUGCUUUUGGAUUGGGCUUCUGGAUACGCAUGGUGGCAGCUCUUAAAAGUCAGCUCUGCUUUUACCUGAGCCUCCAACAAAUCAUAAACCCUUGGCUAGGUCAAAUGGCCUAAACUUCCCACCAUCCUAUCUGCUCACGUUACAAAGGAAGGGCAGACAAGAACUCUACUCUGUAUGCCUGGAAUCCUGAUGGCAAGGAGCCUCCUAAGUCCCAUAGGGACAGAUGCCCUGUGAAAAAUAAAUGAGGUUUAUAAAAAUUACACCUGCAUGUGUCCGUUGGGAAACAGAGCCUUGUGAAAUGGAAUGGGGUAUUAAUGCAGGAAUCCAGGUCAGCCACGGUAGGUAAGAAUCACCAUGGUCAGACCU